ACCCAGACUCCUACGGGAGGCAGCAGUGGGGAAUAUUGCACAAUGGGGGAAACCCUGAUGCAGCAACGCCGCGUGAGUGAAGAAGUCAUUCGUGAUGUAAAGCUCUAUCAGCAGGGAAGAAAAUGACGGUACCUGACUAAGAAGCCCCGGCUAACUACGUGCCAGCAGCCGCGGUAAUACGUAGGGGGCAAGCGUUAUCCGGAUUUACUGGGUGUAAAGGGAGCGUAGACGGCAGUGCAAGUCCGGAGUGAAAGCCCGGGGCUCAACCCUGGGACUGCUCUGGAAACUGUAAAGCUGGAGUGCGGGAGGGGCAGGCGGAAUUCCUGGUGUAGCGGUGAAAUGCGUAGAUAUCAGGAGGAACACCGGCGGCGAAGGCGGCCUGCUGGACCGUAACUGACGUUGAGGCUCGAAAGCGUGGGGAGCAAACAGGAUUAGAUACCCGCGUAU
rnacentral:rRNA from 1 species